AGUCCCCUGAGAACUUUCCCCUCCAGCACCAGGGAAAAUGGGAUUUUUGCUCCUUGUAAUUUUCGCUGUAGCCGCUUUGGAAGGUGUCCGGUCCCAGGCGCUGGUGGAGUCCGGAGGGGAUGUGAAAAAGCCCGGAGACUCUCUCCGCCUCUCCUGCAAAGCCUCCGGGUUCACCUUCAGCGAUUACUACAUGGGCUGGGUCCGACAGGCUCCCGGGAAGGGGCUGGAGUGGGUGGCGCGGAUCAGUUCCCAAAGUGGAACUGAACAGUUGUAUUCCCCGGCUGUGAAAGGCCGAUUCACCAUCUCCAGAGACAACCCCAACAACCUGCUGUAUCUGCAACUGACCGGCCUGAAGCCCGAGGACACCGCCCGCUAUUACUGUGCGACAGACACAGUGAGGGGAAGCCGGGCUGAGCUCAGACAAAAACCUCCCGGCUUCAGUGCAGGUUGAUUUUGCUCUAGGUGGCGUUCAUUGUCCGUACAAUAGAAUGAGGACAAAUAAAACAAA